UGGUGUAUAGCCAAAUAGGUAAGGCUUUGGUCUUUGACGCCAACAUUUAUAGGUUCGAAUCCUUUUACACCAG
rnacentral:tRNA from 1 species